rnacentral:rRNA from 1 species
AUUGAACGCUGGCGGCAGGCCUAACACAUGCAAGUCGAACGCGUGGCGGAAGGGUGUGUUAUGUCUGGGAAACUGCCUGAUGGAGGGGGAUAACUACUGGAAACGGUAUCUAAUACCGCAUCCUAUCGGAUGUGCCCAGAUGGGAUUAGCUUGUAGGUGGGGUAAAGGCUCACCUAGGCGACGAUCCCUAGCGGGUCUGAGAGGAUGACCAGCCACACUGGAACUGAGACACGGUCCAGACUCCUACGGGAGGCAGCAGUGGGGAAUAUUGCACAAUGGGCGCAAGCCUGAUGCAGCCAUGCCGCGUGUAUGAAGAAGGCCUUCGGGUUGUAAAGUACUUUCAGCGGGGAGGCGUUACCCGCAGAAGAAGCACCGGCUAACUCCGUGCCAGCCGCCGCGGUAAUAC